GCUGGCAUGUGUUGAUGUUGCCUCUUGGAUAUAUGCUUCUAGGUUGUUGAAGAAGGAGGUGAUAUCUGACUUCUCUAUCAGGAAUGGCAGAUGUUGCACGUGGACACGGGGGAGAUGGUGGGAGUCAGGAUCCCAAUAGGAAUCCAAACAGAAUCCCUAACAUUUGCGAGUCUUCCCAAGCCAAGAGAAAGCAUGGACGGGGGAGAAAUGUAAAGUUAUUUAAAAAAUGUGAACAAAACAAUGGUGAUCCACUACCCAUUAACUUUACUGCUCAGGCACGUCAGUAUAAGUUCACUGGACCGCAUGCCUCGGAUUUUAUAAGAUUUAUCUCCAACACUAUUGCAAGCGUAGUUCCUAUGCAUUUUAAAGAUUGGCAGAGUGUUCCACCUGAGUAUAAAAAA